CAUUGAAGGUAUUUGGUAGUCUAUUGGAGCCUACCAGCUAUAUCCAAUAAAGUACAACUGAAGCCUGCAAUACCUGUGACAGCAAAGGAUUAACCAAUAGGAAAAAGCUCAACCCAUUGAACUUGAUUGACAAGUGACAAAACCAACAGGGAAAGAGGCACUGGGAAAUAAAUUGUGCUGGCGUUAAAAACACCAUUUGGAAAUAUCAGGCGGUCAUUCUCUAACCCAAUUAGUACUGAAAAGGCUCGCUGGAGCCGAUCCCAGCUAGCGUAAUUCGCAAAAGGCAAGAGACCAGGGGGGUAUUCCAGAAAGCUUGGUUAACUUACCAUUUGGUAAAUCAUAACCUCUGGGUUGAUUUACCCCAAACCCGCAUACCAUGAGUAUGUCGGUUCCAAAACACCUGAGAAGAGUAAGUUCAAUCAACCUCCUACUGGUUACCCAGAGUUAAUGCGCGUGCACCGUGCAUACAUAAAGACGUUUUCAAUGGAUCGCCGAUUUCACGAGUCCAAAUGGAAGAUCAAGGAGAAAAAAAGCGAGCGGCAUAUUUCACAGAGGUGGAGUUGGAGGUGUUAAUGCAGGCGUUUGAAGAAUUUAAGCCUAUCAUAAUGAAAAAAAAUAAUACGGCUGCAUCGGCUAAAGAAAGAGAGUUGGCUUGGCAAAAAAUAACGGACAGAGUAAAUGCGUGUAAUCCGUCUGGAUGCAGAAGAACUUUGAGGCAAGUCAAAAUGAAACAUAAAAACAUACUGCAAAAAGGUAAUAGUUGAUUACACGAUCACUGAACUAUUGAUUAAACACGAUUUAGUAUAUUCUGUCUGUCAUGUAGCUAAUAGAAAGCAAGCUGAAGCCCGUCUAACUGGCGGGGGCCCACCACCACCUCCCCUCACCCCAUCUGAGGAGCUGGCUCUGUCCCUUAAUAAAGGGCGACCAGUGGUUGCUGGCAUUCCAGGGGGCACUUCGUCACACACACCAUGCACCACAAGUAGCAUGGUGAAAUGUAAGUUUACCACAAUGAUUUGUUUUCAUUAUAUGACUUAAUAAAUUACUAUCUCUGUCACUUAAAGGCUUCUUCAACAUGCUUAAUGUUUUUAUGCAGGCUGACUUUAUUGAAC